UACGAGGGGGGCGAGCGUUGUUCGGAAUUAUUGGGCGUAAAGGGCGCGUAGGCGGUGCGGUAAGUCACCUGUGAAAUCUCCGAGCUCAACUCGGAGCCUGCAGGCGAAACUGCCGUGCUGGAGUAUGGGAGAGGUGCGUGGAAUUCCCGGUGUAGCGGUGAAAUGCGUAGAUAUCUGGAGGAACACCGGUGGCGAAAGCGGCUCACUGGACCCGAUCUGACACUGAGGUGCGAAAGCUAGGGUAGCAAACGGG
rnacentral:rRNA from 1 species